GAUGAACGCUGGCGGCGUGCUUAACACAUGCAAGUCGAACGGAAAGGCCUCUGCUUGCAGGGGUACUCGAGUGGCGAACGGGUGAGUAACACGUGGGUGAUCUGCCCUGCACUUCGGGAUAAGCCUGGGAAACUGGGUCUAAUACCGGAUAGGACAAUGGUUUGGAUGCCGUUGUGGAAAGUUUUUCGGUGUGGGAUGAGCUCGCGGCCUAUCAGCUUGUUGGUGGGGUAAUGGCCUACCAAGGCGUCGACGGGUAGCCGGCCUGAGAGGGUGUACGGCCACAUUGGGACUGAGAUACGGCCCAGACUCCUACGGGAGGCAGCAGUGGGGAAUAUUGCACAAUGGGCGCAAGCCUGAUGCAGCGACGCCGCGUGGGGGAUGACGGCCUUCGGGUUGUAAACUCCUUUCGCUAGGGACGAAGCGCAAGUGACGGUACCUGGAGAAGAAGCACCGGCUAACUACGUG
rnacentral:rRNA from 1 species